GCAUUUCUCGUAACACAACAUAGAUGGCUGCACUAGUUUUUGGCAAUUAUUGAUUGUAAUCAACAAUUUAAUUGCAUUUCAAUGGCAGUAAUCGAAUUGCAAUAGCUGUUACAGCAGACGAUAAUACAGAGACAUGUGACAGGAUGACAGCAUCGUCUCUAUUGAAUAUGACCAGCAUGACCCAGGAUCGAAGAAAAAGCGUAGAGUACCGCCGUUGAUUGUUGGACCAUCUCUAGCCUGUCUUA